rnacentral:lncRNA from 1 species
CGCAGAGCAUCCUCGCCAUCUGGGCGGUUCAGGUGGUGCUCAUGGGCUUCAUCGAGGGUUACCGCGUUGGUGGCGGCCCCCUCGGCGAGGGCCUCGACAUCAUCUACCCAGGCGGCGCCUUCGACCCACUUGGCCUCGCCGACGACCCCGACACCGCAGCUGAGCUCAAGGUCAAGGAGCUCAAGAACGGCCGCCUCGCCAUGUUCUCCAUGUUCGGCUUCUUCGUGCAGGCCAUCGUCACCGGAAAGGGGCCCGUAGAGAACCUCUUCGACCACGUCGCCGACCCGGUCAACAACAACGCGUGGGCCUUCGCCACCAACUUCGCCCCCGGAAGCUAAAUGUGUUAAGCCAUCUGUCCGUCCAUCGGACGAGAUAUGCAUGUGUACUUGUACGUCGUGGAUCAACGUGUAGCUGCACGUACUUUGUGUGUUUAUUUGUACCAUGAUCGAGCGAGCGAGAUGACCUCUCGCUGGCUGCGCGCAAUGUAAAUUAAUUAAGCACGAGAUGCACGAGCAAAUGGAUGGAAGAAUCGUGUAUCAUUAGUACAUUACUCGAGAUCAUCAACUGGCAUGGCGUAUAUGGUACUUCAAGCUCAUGAAACGGGACAUUCGCAACGGCAUACGGAGAUCCAACGGGCCAACUAUACAACUCUGUCUUUGUGGCUAUUCUUGGUUCAGAAACCCAGUUUCUCUCGUUUGAAAUCCUUUUCAGAUCGUAACUUUGAAACUCAUGCAAGCAUGAACAUGAAUACACAGAUUUUGCAAUGCAGAACUUGCAUCUUUUCUUCAUGGGAAAAUUUUAUUUUUGCCGCUCUAGAUUUUGCCAAUUUUCCUUAUGUCACUCUAGAUUUCGACAUUUCACUUUUGCAACUCUGGAAAACCGGCCUCGCCCUGAGCGCGCCCUCGCCCCCCGCACCUGACCGUCGUGCGCCACUCCGGCGCCGGCGUCCACCGCGCUCUUGCGCCCCGGCUUGUGCCACUCCGGCCAUUCCGGCCACCUCUUCCCCCUCUCCGGUCCCGUCUUCCUCCCUGGCGCGUCGCUCGCCGCAGCCAUGACCUCCAGUCCCAGAUCUGGCUCGUCCAUGGCCAGCCGGAGGGUGAGAGGCCGAUCGUCUCUGGGCUGGGGCUCUCGGAGGGCUCGGCGGAGUCUGACCCCCAGCCAGCGGUGGAGUCGGCGCCGCGCCUGGUGGCCCCUGCUGCGGCCUGGGAGCGGCCGCCUCCGUCCAAGAAGGAGCUCUGGCGGCUUCGGCAUGGCCAGGGGACGCAGGCGGGCUCUUCCAGGGCCAGGCAGGGUGGACCGCCGCCGCCGCGUGUGGAGGUGAUCCCGGAGCUGCAGGACAAGUGCUUCAGGUGCCUGGAAAACGGCCACUUCCGGCAUGACUGCACCAACCAGGAGGUGUGUUUCCGGUGCAGGCUGCCUGGACAUGGAUCCCGCGACUGCAAGCGACCGAGGAGUCCUUCCUCUGCUGAUGCGCGAGGCUAUCGCCAAGGUGGCUCGCCGCACCUCUCCGCGGGUGAGCCCGGAUCCCCCGGUGGCCCGCGUGGCCGCCUCGCCUCCGCCGCAGCUCUCCUACUCGCUGCCGAGGGCGGCCGAGGCGGCUUGGCCACGGCUGGCACCCCCCAGGCUCCAGGUGGCCAUGGAGGCGGACGAAGGCGAGUCCGAGAUCUGUGUGGUUUUCGGCGUUCGUAGUCCACAGAGGAGCUGGAGCGUCGGCUGCGCUUCGCCAUGGUCGCCUACGUGGGCGGUGCUCGGAGAAGGCUGGCGCCGCAGCGCGUGCUCGAGAUCCUGGCGGGCAAGCUCGACAUCACGGAUGAUCAGGUCUCGGUGCACCCGUACAGGCCAGAGGAUUUCCUGGUAGUUUUCGCCUCGGCGGCGAUCAGGAACAGAGUCGCGGCGUGUCCGGAGGUGGAGUUCCAGGGAGAUAGGCUGUACUUCAGACCGUGGAACCGGCAGUCACAGGCAGUGCACUCGAUCUUGGGAUCUAAGGUUUGGAUCGUCAUGGAGGGGAUCCCGCCCCAUGCUUGGGAGAGGGAGACGGCGGAGGACCUUCUAGGCACGGCGUGCAAGGUGGACGCGGUGGCGCCGGAAACUAGCUCAAGGUCAGAUCUUUCGGCAUUCAGGCUCACGGCGUGGACUGCUAAUCCAGAGGCGAUCCCUUCCCUUCGCUGGCUCGCCAUCCCGGAGCCUGGCUCGGAGAUCCCUCCGCCGCUGUUGCAGUACAAGGUUCUCAUACACGUCGACGCAGUUGCAGACUUCAUAGAAGCUGGGGAGCCUUGGUUCUUGGGCGGCUCCUCCGAUAGUGGUCAGAGCGGUCUGCCAGGCUCGCCGGAUGGGUUCAGUGACGAUGGAGGCGGCGCCAGGCCGCGGCAGCGAGUUUGGCAGUUUUGUGUGAGAGAUGCGCGCGGCGGCGAGCUUGGGCGCGAGGGAAACGGCGGCGGCCAUGGUGGCUCAACGAGGAGCGCAGAGAGGACAGACUGGCGCCUGCCCCCGAUGGCCCCCACCCCGGUCGUGUCGCAUGGCGGGCCCACGAUGAGGGUGCAGGAUAGGGUGACAGCCAGGAAGUCAGCUUUUGACUGUCUUUCGGGUCAGCAGCUGGGUGGGGACGCACGAGAGAAGGUUCCCGAGACUAGUUUGAACAGUGGUGGCGCGUUUUUGACCGGGUAGGCGGAUGGAGCACAAGUGUUACCGUUGGGAGAACGUGGGGUGACCCUGGUUGUUGAGGGUGCGGAUCCCCAGACCGACAGGAUCGCGGGGACUGGACAGCCAGCUCUCCUGGCCCCGUCCCCGACCCGCAUGACAACGGUUACGUCGAUGGAUGCGUCAAGGAGCUGCGCGCCAAUGGGGACUCUUCUGCCACGCGCUGGAGAGGACGAGGCAGACCCCACGGGGACUGGGAGGCUGGACCCACCGGAGAUUCUCACUGAUCGCUCCGUCCAGGGGGGCAGACUGCAGCUGGUGGGACCUGUUGGGCCACCCACGAGGGACGCGGAAGGCGGGAGAGGUGAGCAGCAGGAGUUGGCCCUGGCCUCGGAUAGGGAGCCAAUAAUGGAGGGACUGGCAGCGGACGCUGAAGGUGGGGCCAACGAUGGGAAUCAUGCACAUGCAGCAUGCAUGGUGGCAUGCACGUACGGCGUCACCGAUGAUACAAGUAUGGAAAUGGAGGGUGUUCUCGCUGGUGGGCUGGAUGAGGGCAGGCUGUAGCGUGACCAACUGGCCAUUGUCCCCAUCGAGGCAGAGGCACACGGGGAGACGGAAGGCAUGACCGCGCAAGAGGCCCAUGCGUAUGGCAAGCUCAAGAGUUUCUGCUCCAACAUCAUUAAAAAACUCGCCCCUCCCCUGUUAAAAGAGGUACAGGCGGCGCAGCUGCGUCCAGAUGCAUAACCUUUCAUGCCCAAGAGAGCUACUCGAUCGUCGAAGAAGGCCAUGGGGACACGAAGAUCAAAGGAGAGCCCGGCUGAGAAUGUGCUGCUUCAUGCCCUUGGCAUGGUUCCGGAGGACUUGGUGGUUGAUGAUGGGGUGGUGCAUGAGCUCAAGGCUCUGUUUGACUCCCCAUUGAGGGAACAACAUGUGAGGAUCAUUGCUGCUCUCUUCGGCAAGACAAUCCCAUCGGCAGAGGAAUUGGAUGCGAGCAACUCGGUGAUGAUCUCUGUCAACUAGGAGGCUUGUGGGUGGGGCUGGUGGCAGGUCCUUCUUCAUGGAUCUACAUCCCCAAGUGUUGUGCUGGAAUGUUCGUGGCCUAAACAAUCCGGCGAAGCGCAAGGCAGUGAGAGAAUUCGUGUGCUCGUUGAAGUGUAACUUGGUGUGUUUCCAGGAGACCAAGAUGAAUGUAAUGGAUCAUUUCAUUGUUAUGCAAUGCCUAGGGCCAUCUUUUGAUGGCUUCGCUUACUUACCGUCCCAUGAAACUAGGGGUGGCAUCCAGUGGCGUGGGAUAGCUCCGUGUUGAUGUUUGACAAUUUCCAGUACAACGCUAAUUUCCUUACGGGUUUGGUGCACACUAAGGUAGGAGAUCCUUGGUGGAUUUCGGUCGUAUAUGGGCCACAAAGUGACGAAGAGAAGAGCCAGUUCUUGCUAGACCUAGACGCGAGGUGUGCGGGCUGCCCGGGGCCGUGGAUGCUGUUGGGAGACUUUAACAUGAUCUUAAGGGCCGCGGAGAAGAUCAAUAACAACCUCAACAGAACUAUGAUGAAUAGAUUUCGGCAGUUUGUGGAUGACCAAGAGCUCAAGGAGAUGUACAUGCACGGCCGAAAAUUUACGUGGUCGAAUGAGCGGACGGUGCCGACCCUCACCAAGAUUGAUCGUGUGCUCAUUUCGGUUAAUUGGGAGUUGGAAAACCCAUCUUACCUGCUCCAGGCGCUCUCCACCGGAGUUUCGGAUCACGCCCCGUUGCACUUAUCCACGAGUGCUAAUUUUUGCCCCAAAAAGAGGUUCCGCUUUGAGCUUUUCUGGACUAGAAUGGAAGGUUUUGAGGAUGUUGUGAGAGAGGCCUGGGUAUGUGACGCGUCCAUCGUCGAUCCCUACAAGAGGCUGGAUGCUCUGCUGCGCAACGCCGCAAACCACCUGCAAGCGUGGGGCCAAAGGAAACUGGGGAAUGUGAAGACACUCAUGCGGGUGGCCACCUGGGUCAUCCAUAAGCUGGAUGUAGCCGAGGAGAACGGAAUUCUGCAACGGGAAGAGGUGUGGUUGCGAAGAACACUGAAACACUCGCUCCUAGGUUUGGCUGCGCUCGAGAGGACAAUUGACCGGCAGAGGUCGAGGCUCAAGUGGGUCAAAGAGGGCGACGCCAACACCAAGCUGUUCCAAGCAGUGGCAAACGGAAGAAGGACCAAGAAUUAUAUCCCAUACAUCAAACAUGGCAGCGAGAUCAUUACCGACCAGGAGAGAAUGGUGGACACGUUCACAGAAGUGUACAAGCAGUUGAUGGGCACGACACAUGCCAGGGAGCAUACUUUAGACUUGCAAUUCCUACAGAUGGAACCGAAGGAGUUGAGCUCACUUGAGGAGAUCAUUACGGAAGAAGAGGUAUGGCAGGUUAUCAAAGAAAUGGCCCCGGACCGUGCCCCGGGACCAGAUGGCUUCAUCGGUGCGUUCUACCAAUGAGCCUGGCAGAUUAUAAAACAGGACAUUAUGGCUGUGAUGCUAAAGCUGUAUGUGGGGGACACUAGAGGUUUUGCGAAGCUCAUCAAGGCCCACAUUAUCCUCAUUCCAAAAAAGCCGGAUGCGGAGGAGAUUGGAGAUUACCGGCCUAUCAGUCUUAUCCAUAGUAUCCCCAAGCUCUUUGCAAAGGUACUUGCUAACCGGUUGCGUAGCCGAAUGCCGGAAAUUGUGGCCACGAACCAGUCUGCCUUUAUCAAAGGAAGGCACCUGCAUGACAACUUUCUGCUGGUUCGGAAAGUAGCGCGGAAGAUUCAUGCAAGAAGAGUCCCAGGAGUGUUCAUCAAGUUAGACAUUUCAAGAGAUUUUGAUUCUCUUUCUUGGCCGUUUCUGUUGGAAGUCUUGCGGGCAAAGGGUUUUGGACAGAGGUGGAUGACUUGGAUCAUGACGAUCUUGCACUCUGCUAGCACCAAGGUGGUGGUGAAUGGUGUCCCCGGUGGAAGCUUCUUACAUGCCUGUGGUCUGCGCCAAGGCGACCCAAUACCGCCAAUGCUCUUUGUAAUCGCCAUGGAGGCACUUACGGCGCUAAUCAACAAAGCUACUGAUGUGGGUGUGCUCAGCUCAUAUAAUGGAAUAUCGGCGCUGCAAAGACUAUCAAUAUAUGCAGACGAUGUAGCGCUGUUCGUCAAGCCUUCACGGCAGGACCUGUCGGUAGUUCACGAGAUUCUAGACGUGUUUGGGGAGGCCUCGGGGCUAAAAGUUAACUACCACAAAUCAUCGGCAAUCUUGAUCCGUGGGGAUCAGGAAGAUAAGGAGAGGGUGGCCGGAUUGCUGCACUGUGGACUUGCCGAAUUCCCUUGCAAAUACCUUGGUGUACAGCUUGCAAUCCGAAGUUUAACGCGAGCUGAAUGGAUGCCUAUGCUUGACCAAGUCCGGAAAGUGAUCCCUGCCUGGCAACGAGGACUUAUACAGUGACCCGGUCGGCUCGUUUUGGUUCAGUCCGUUGUCGCAGCUAGGCCAGUGCACCACCUGAUGAUUACAGAUGCGCCAGAUUGGGUGUUCGAGGAAAUGAAUAAAUGGAUGAGGUCGUUUUUCUGGGCGGGGAAGGACAAAAGCAAUGGAGGGCAAUGUCUCGUGGCAUGGGACCAAGUUUGCCGACCAAAGCAGUUCAGAGGAUUAGGGAUAAAGAACAUGAAAGCCCAGGCUCUAGCCCUGAGAGUGAGGUGGGAGUGGCUAAGGAGGACUGACCCUAGCAGACCAUGGCAAGGUUUACCUAUGGCGGACGACUGUAAUGCAAGAGCUGUUUUUGAGGCCAUGGUCAGGAUUGAGGUUGGGAGGGGCGACAGCGUCCUGUUCUGGAGAGACAAGUGGCUACGCGGAGCCGGCGUGGCAGAUAUCGCGCCGCGCUUGAUGGAGACGGUGCCAACGAGAAUAAUUAACAGCCGGACGGUCCAUCAGGCUCUCACAGAGAACAGGUGGUACGAGGACUGUGAUGCCACGGCUUCCUUCACUGCCUAGUUGUAGUGUAUGCACCUUUGCCAUGCACUUGCUUCGGUGCAUAGAGAUGAGAAUGAACCGGACCGGUUCACUUGGCCGGCGACGAAUAUGGCGAGCUACUUGGCCAAAUCGGUCUAUGACUACCUUUGCUCGGGCCUGCAGAAGUCCCCGACGGCGGCAUGUACUUGGAGAAGCUGGGCGACGUUAAAGUGCAAGCUGUUUAUUUGGUUGGCGUUACAAUAUAGAUUGUGGACAUCGGAUAGACGGGCCCGUCAUGGCCUCCAAGACCAACCGUCGCCAUGUUUCACGUGCUUGCAAGCGGAGGACAAUGUUGACCACAUACUGGCCAAGUGCACCUUUGCACAGGAGGUGUGGCAUCAAGUGUUCGACCUGCUCGGCCUCAAUGUUGUAGGAACAACCCCAAACGACACCUUCCCUGUUUGGUGGAUGAGAGAAAGGAAGAAGUUUAGGGGAGCUAACAGAAGAGGGUUUGACACUCUCGUGACGGCGGUGGCUUGGAUACUUUGGAAGCAAAGAAACGCCAGGGUCUUCAACAGACAGGAGAAACAGAAGCCAGCACCCCUCAUUCCCAACCUAGUGCUUGAGGAAAUCACGGCAUGGCAUACGGCAGGGCUUGGAGCGGAACAUCUACAACGUUUUGUGAGGAGUUAGAUUAGUAGUGUUUCGGAGUUGGAGUAGGUGUGUGUCACCCAUCCUAGAUGUUCGCACCAGGGAGGGGCAUCUUGUAAUUAACUCUCUUUCGUCUAUAAAAAUAUGGUAAGCCAUUGGCGUACUCUCGGAAAAAUAAACUUUUGCAACUCUUAGUUUUUGACAAUUAUUAUCACAAUAGAUAUUCCGUGGCAAAAGCAAAAAUUUCAGAGUGGCAAUUGUGAUACAUGGUCAAAAGCUAAGAGUGGCAAAAAUAAAAUAAAAUAAUUUUGCUUUUGCCACGGAAUGGCAAUUGUAAUAAUUGUCAAAAUCUAAGAGUGGCAAAGGUGAAAUGUCAAAUCUAGAGUGGCAUAAGAAAAAUUGGCAAAAUCUAAAGUGGCAAAAAAAACCUUUCUUGAACUCUUACAAGACGACUUCAUGUCCAACUCAACACGUAACCGUGCCCAACUCGACGCUACCCCUAACAUGUGUUUAGGCUCAAAUUUGGAAAAUUGGACUACUUUCAAACUUACGCUACGACUCAAAUUGUUAGAUAGAAGGAGAUUAAAUGAAAGAUGAAUGUGCAAUCGCACUAUGAUUGAGAAGAUGGCAAGCAUGAGAUGACUAGUAGUAGUCUUUAAGUGUGACUACUUGUGUAUAUAUAGAGGUAAGCCGACGUCCGGCCUGUUUAGGGCGACCUCUAGAAAUUCUAUCAUAGAAAAUGCGAUUUUUUUGUCCAAAAGGACCACCUGCCGAGUCAAAUUGAUGAAAAAGACCAACUUUUUAAAAAAAUUGAUAAAAAAGACCAGUUAGGCCGUGGCAGCAGGCGCGCCAACCGACACGUGGGGGAGGCGGCAGGCACUACAGCAAGCGGCAGCCCGGAAUUACCGGAGACUGGGCGAGACCAGCUGCUGCAACGGAAUAGGAUGGGCUGGUGGGCCCUGCCGCCACACACCGUGGUGACAAGUCUCCACCAGCAGCUCGGCUAUGUCUCUCAGCUCUCUGUUUUACUUGCUGUUAGCAAGUGUGAAAACAUGCAAGGUUGACUGAAAUUUAAAUCAAUCUGAAGGCCAAUUUUGAAGAUGUUGCAGUCGAAGAAAAGAUAGAUCCAGAUGAGACCUAUCCAUUUUUAUGUUUUUCGCUUACAUGCACGAUCGUUUCGUACUUUCCAAAUGCUCCAAAACACUCCCAACAUAUUAUCAAACGCCUAAUUUAACCUAUAAACCCUGGAGAACUGCUAGGCAGGAGGAAGGUGGCCACGUCGCCUUUAAAUCCCGAAUGCCACCGCCUGUAAAUUCCGUGCCCCGUCAAGGGCAUUUUAGUCAUUUCACGCGCAGGCAUAUAAAACGCAGCCCGCCCGUAUAGAAACCCUAGCCGCUGCCUCCGCCCGCACUCGCUCCCCCACCCACCCGCGCAGCUCUCUUCCCCGACCCCUUCCUUCCCCCGUCUGCCCGAGCCCCCGCCGCCAACUGCUCCUCCUCCACCGCCUUGCCUCUUCCUCCUCCUCGCCGUCCCAUCGCUUGCACGCAGGCCAUCGCGGCCACGCGCUUCGCGGGCGAACCCGAUCUCCACCGCCUGCUCCUGCACGACGCCUCUCGAGUGAAGGAGGAUGCCCAAACCAUGGUCGAGCCAACGGUGGGGGCCGGGUCAAGGCUGCGGUUGGCGGCCUGGAUGCAGGAGAACCGCUAGGCAGGAGGAAGGUGGCCACGUCACCUUUAAAUCGUGAAUGCCACCGCCUGUAAAUUCCGUGCCCCGCCAUGGGCAUUUUAGUCAUUUCACGCGCAGGCAUAUAAAACGCAGCCCGCCCGUGUAGAAACCCUAGCCGCUGCCUCCGCCCGCACUCGCUCCCCCACCCACCUGCGCAGCUCUCUUCCCCGACCCCUUCCUUCCCCCGUCUGCCCGAGCCCCCGCCGCCAACUGCUACUCCUCCACCGCCUCGCCUCUUCCUCCUCCUCGCCGUCCCAUCGCAUGCACGCAGGCCAUCGUGGCCACGGGCUUCGUGUUAGAAAUAUGUCCUAGAGGCAAUAAUAAAUUGGUUAUUGUUAUAUUUCCUUGUUCAUGAUAAUCGUUUAUUAUCCAUGCUAAAAUUGUAUUGAUAGGAAACUCAGAUACAUGUGUGGAUACAUAGACAACACCAUGUCCCUAGUAAGCCUCUAGUUGACUAGCUCGUUGAUCAAUAGAUGGUUACGGUUUCCUGACCAUGGACAUUGGAUGUCGUUGAUAACGGGAUCACAUCAUUAGGAGAAUGAUGUGAUGGACAAGACCCAAUCCUAAGCCUAGCACAAGAUCGUGUAGUUCGUCUGCUAAAGCUUUUCUAAUGUCAAGUAUCAUUUCCUUAGACCAUGAGAUUGUGCAACUCCCGGAUACCGUAGGAAUGCUUUGGGUGUACCAAACGUCACAACGUAACUGGGUGGCUAUAAAGGUGCACUACAGGUAUCUCCGAAAGUGUCUGUUGGGUUGGCAUGAAUCGAGACUGGGAUUUGUCACUCCGUGUAAACGGAGAGGUAUCUCUGGGCCCACUCGGUAGGACAUCAUCAUAAUGUGCACAAUGUGACCAAGGAGUUGAUCACGGGAUGAUGUGUUAUGGAACGAGUAAAGAGACUUGCCGGUAACGAGAUUGAACAAGGUAUCGGGAUACCGACGAUCGAAUCUCGGGCAAGUACUAUACCGGUAGACAAAGGGAAUUGUAUAUGGGAUUGAUUGAAUCCUUGACAUCGUGGUUCAUCCGAUGAGAUCAUCGUGGAACAUGUGGGAGGCAACAUGGGUAUCCAGAUCCCGCUGUUGGUUAUUGGCCGGAGAUAUGUCUCGGUCAUGACUACAUGGUUCCCGAGCCCGUAGGGUCUACACACUUAAGGUUCGAUGACGCUAGGGUUAUAGGGAAAGUAUGUACGCGGUUACCGAAUGUUGUUCGGAGUCCCGGAUGAGAUCCCGGAUGUCACGAGGAGUUCCGGAAUGGUCCGGAGGUAAAGAUUGAUAUAUAGGAAGUGAGGAUUUGGCCACCGGAAGUGUUCCGGGCAUCACCGGUAAUGUACCGGGACCACCGGAAGGGUCCGGGGGUCCACCGGGAGGGGCCACCAGCCCCAGAGGCUUGCGUGGGCCAAUAGUGGGAAGGGACCAGCCCCUAGGUGUUGGGGAACGUAGUAAUUUCAAAAAAAUUCCUACGCACACGCAAGAUCAUGGUGAUGCAUAGCAACGAGAGGGGAGAGUGUUGUCCACGUACCCUCGUAGACCGACAGCGGAAGCGUUAUCACAACGCGGUUGAUGUAGUCGUACGUCUUCAUGAUCCGACCGAUCAAGUACCGAACGUACGGCACCUCCGAGUUCCACACACGUUCAGCUCGAUGACGUCCCUCGAACUCCGAUCCAGCCGAGUGUUGAGGGAGAGUUUCGUCAGCACGACGGCGUGGUGACGAUGAUGAUGUUCCACCGACGCAGGGCUUCGCCUAAGCUCCGCAACGGUAUUAUCGAGGUGUAAUAUGGUGGAGGGGGGCACCGCACACGGCUAAGAGAUCUCAAGGAUCAAUUGUUGUGUCUCUGGGGUGCCCCCUGCCCCCGUAUAUAAAGGAGCAAGGGAGGAGGAGGCCGGCCCUAGGAGGGGGCGCACCAAGUGUGGAGUCCUACUAGGACUAGUACAAUGCCCGUCGUUGCCACGGGCUCUUGAAUGUUGGAAAUAUGCCCUAGAGGCAAUAAUAAAUAGGUUAUUAUUAUAUUUCCUUGUUCAUGAUAAUCGUUUAUUAUCCAUGCUAGAAUUGUAUUGAUAGGAAACUCAGAUACAUGUGUGGAUACAUAGACAACACCAUGUCCCUAGUAAGCCUCUAGGAGACUAGCUCGUUGAUCAAUAGAUGGUUAUGGUUUCCUAACCAUGGACAUUGGAUGUCGUUGAUAACGGGAUCACAUCAUUAGGAGAAUGAUGUGAUGGACAAGACCCAAUCCUAAGCCUAGCACAAGAUCGUGUAGUUCGUUUGCUCAGAGCUUUUCUAAUGUCAAGUAUCACUUCCUUAGACCAUGAGAUUGUGCAACUCCCGGAUACCGUAGGAAUGCUUUGGGUGUACCAAACGUCACAACGUAACUGGGUGGCUAUAAAGGUGCACUACGGGUAUCUCCGAAAGUGUCUGUUGGGUUGGCACGAAUCGAGACUGGGAUUUGUCACUCCGUGUAAACGGAGAGGUAUCUCUGGGCCCACUCGGUAGGACAUCAUCAUAAUGUGCACAGUGUGACCAAGGAGUUGAUCACGGGAUGAUGUGAGUUACGGAACGAGUAAAGAGACUUGCCGGUAACGAGAUUGAACAAGGUAUAGGGAUACCGACGAUCGAAUCUCGGGCAAGUAACAUACCGAUGGACAAAGGGAAUUGCAUACGGGAUUGAUUGAAUCCCCGACAUCGUGGUUCAUCCGAUGAGAUCAUUGUGGAACAUGUGGGAGCCAACAUGGGUAUCCAGAUCCCGUUGUUGGUUAUUGACCGGAGAACGUCUCGGUCAUGUCUGCAUGGUUCCCGAACCCGUAGGGUCUACACACUUAAGGUUCGAUGACGCUAGGGUUAUAGGGAAAGUAUGUACGUGGUUACCGAAUGUUAUUCGGAGUCCCGGAUGAGAUCCCGGACGUCACGAGGAGUUCCGGAAUGGUCCGGAGGUAAAGAUUUAUAUAUGGGAAGUCCUGUUUUGGUCACCAGAAAAGUUUCGGGUGAAAUCGGUAAUGUACCGGGACCACCGGGAGGGUCCCGGGGGUCCACCAAGUGGGGCCACCAGCCCCAGAAGGCUGCGUGGGCCAAGUGUGGGAGGGGACCAGCCCCAGGUGGGCUGGUGCGCCCCCCCCACCAAGGCCCAGGCGCAUGGGAGAGUGGGAGGGGGCAAACCCUAGGUCCAGAUGGGCCUUAGGGCCCAUCUAGUGGGGCGCCUCCCCCUCUCCUCCCCUUGGCCGCCCCCCUUGAUGGGAUCUAGGGCUGGCCGCCUCCUCUUGAGGGUGGAAACCCUAAAGGGGGCGCAGCCCCCUUCCCCCCUAUAUAUACUUGAGGUUUGGGCUGCCAUACAGACACGAGAAAGUCUCCUUUUGGUGCUGCCCUACCCCUCUCCCUCCUCCUCCUCUCCCGCGGUGCUUGGCGAAGCCCUGCGGGAUUGCCACGCUCCUCCAUCACCACCACGCCGUCGUGCUGCUGCUGGAUGGAGUCUUCCCCAACCUCUCCCUCUCUCCUUGCUGGAUCAAGGCGUGGGAGACGUCACCGGGCUGCACGUGUGUUGAACGCGGAGGCACCGUACUUUCGGUGCUUAGAUCGGAAUCAACCGCGAUCUGAAUCGCUACGAGUACGACUCCCUCAUCCGCGUUCUUGCAACGCUUCCGCAUCGCGAUCUACAAGGGUAUGUAGAUGCACUCCCCUUCCCUUCGUUGCUAGUAAACUCCAUAGAUUGAUCUUGGUGAUGCGUAGAAAAUUUUGAAUUUCUGCUACGUUCCCCAACAGUGGCAUCAUGAGCUAGGUCUAUGCGUAGUUUCUAUGCACGAGUAGAACACAAAGUAGUUGUGGGCGUCGAUGUUGUCAAUUCUUCUUGCCGCUACUAGUCUUAUCUUGUUUCGGCGGCAUUGUGGGAUGAAGCGGCCCGGACCGACCUUACACGUACGCUUACGUGAGACAGGUUCCACCGACUGACAUGCACUAGUUGCAUAAGGUGGCUAGCGGGUGUCUGUCUCUCCCACUUUAGUCGGAACGGAUUCGAUGAAAAGGGUCCUUAUGAAGGGUAAAUAGAAAUUGGCAAAUCACGUUGUGGUCAUCGUAGGUAAGAAACGUUCUUGCUAGAAACCUACAAACCACGUAAAAACUUGCAACAACAAUUAGAGGACGUCUAACUUGUUUUUGCAGCAAGUGCUAUGUGAUGUGAUAUGGCCAGAAGAUGUGAUGAAUGAUAUAUGUGAUGUAUGAGAUUGAUCAUAUUCUUGUAAUAGGAAUCACGACUUGCAUGUCGAUGAGUAUGACAACCGGCAGGAGCCAUAGGAGUUGUCUUUAUUUUUUGUAUGACCUGUGUGUCAUUGAAUAACGCCAUGUAAAUUACUUUACUUUAUUGCUAAGCGCGUUAGCCAUAGAAGUAGAAGUAAUCGUUGGCGUGACAACUUCAUGAAGACACAAUGAUGGAGAUCAUGAUGAUGGAGAUCAUGGUGUCAUGCCGGUGACAAAGAUGAUCAUGGUGCCCCGAAGAUGGAGAUCAAAGGAGCAAGAUGAUAUUGGCCAUAUCAUGUCACUAUUUGAUUUCAUGUGAUGUUUAUCAUGUUAUGCAUCUUAUUUGCUUAGAACGACGGUAGUAAGUAAGAUGAUCCCUCACUAAAAUUUCAAGAGAAGUGUUCCCCCUAACUGUGCACCGUUGCGAAGGUUCGUCGUUUCGAAGCACCACGUGAUGAUCGGGUGUGAUAGAUUCUUACGUUCGAAUACAACGGGUGUUGACGAGCCUAGCAUGUACAGACAUGGCCUCGGCACACACGCAAUACACUUAGGUUGACUUGACGAGCCUAGCAUGUACAGACAUGGCCUCGGAACACGGAGGACCGAAAGGUCGAGCAUGAGUCGUAUAGAAGAUACGAUCAACAUGGAGAUGUUCACCGAUCUUGACUAGUCCGUCUCACGUGAUGAUCGGACACGGCCUAGUUGAACUCGGAUCAUGUUUCACUUAGAUGACUAGAGGGAUGUCUAUCUGAGUGGGAGUUCAUAAUCAGAUGAACUUCAUUAUCAUGAACAUAGUCAAAAAGGUAUUUGCAAACUAUGUCAUAGCUUGCGCUUUAAGUUCUACUGGUUUAGAUAUGUUCCUAGAGAAAAUUUAGUUGAAAGUUGGUAGUAGCAAUUAUGCGGACUGGGUCCGUAAACUGAGGAUUGUCCUCAUUGCUGCACAGAAGGCUUAUGUCCUUAAUGCACCGCUCGGUGUGCUGAACCUCAGCGUCGUCUGUAGAUGUUGCGAAACAUCUGACAUACACGUUUUGAUAACUACGUGAUAGUUCAGUGCGGUUUAGAAUUGUGGCACCCAAGACGUUUUUGAAACGUCGCAGAACAUGUGAGAUGUUCCGAAGACUGAAAUUGGGAUUUCAGACUAGUGCCCACGUCAAGAGGUAUGAGACCUCUGACAAGUUUCUUAAGCCUGCAAACUAAGGGAGAAAAGCUCAAUCGUUGAGCAUGUGCUCAGAUUGUCUGAGUGCCACAAUCACUUGAAUCGAGUGGGAGUUAAUCUCCCAGAUGAGAUAGUGAUAGUUCUCCAUAGUCACUGCCACUAAGCUAGUAGAGCUUCGUAAUGAACUAUAACAUAUCAAGGAUAGUUAUGAUGAUCCUUGAGCUAUUCGCGAUGUCUGACACCGCGAGAGUAGAAAUCAAGAAGGAGCAUCAAUUGUUGAUGGUUAGUAAAACCACUAGUUUAAGAAGGGCAAGGGCAAAAGGGAUACUUCAUGAAACAACAAGUCGUUUGCUGCUCUAGUGAAGAAUCCCAAGGUUGAACCCAAACCCGAGACUAAGUGCUUCUGUAAUAAGAGGAACGGUCACUGAAGCAGUACUACCCUAGAUACUUGGUAGAUGAGAAGACAGGCAAGGUCGACAGAAGUAUAUUGGAUAUACGUCAUAUGAAUGUGUACUUUACUAGUACUCCCAGCAGCACCAGGGUAUUAGAUACCGGUUCGGUUGCUAAGUGUUAGUAACUCGAAAUAAAAGCUGCGGAAUAAACGGAGACUAGCUAAAGGUGAGAUGACGAUAUGUGUUGGAAGUGUUUCCAAGGUUGAUGUGAUCAAGCAUCGCAUGCUCCCUCUACUAUCGAGAUUUGGUGUUUGCGUUGAGCAUGAUUGGAUUAUGUUUAUCGCAAUAUGGUUAUUCAUUUAAGGAGAAUAAUGGUUACUCUGUUUAUUUGAAUAAUACCUUCAAUGGUCUUGCACCUAAAAUGAAUCUCGAUCGUAGUGAUACACAUGUUCAUGCCAAAAAGGAUAUAUGAUAGUAAUGAUAGUACCACAUACUUGUGGCACUGCCACUUGAGUCAUAUUGGUAUAGAACGCAUGAGGAAGCUCCAUGUGGAUGGAUCUUUGGACUCACUCAUUUUUGAAAAGAUUGAGACAUGCGAACCAUGUCUAUUGGUAUAUAUGCAUGAAGAAACUCCAUGCAGAUGGAUCAUUUAGACUCACUUGAUUAUGAAUCACUUGAGACAUGCAAAUCAUACCACAUGGGCAAGAUGACUGAAAGUCCUCGUUUUCAGUAAGAUGGAACAAGAGAGCAACUUAUUGGAAGUAAUACAUUUUGAUGUAUGCAGUCCAAUGAGUGCUGAGGCAUGCAGUGGAUAUCAUUAUGUUCUUACUUCACAGAUGAUUUGAGUAGAUGCUGAGAAUAUUUACUUGAUGAAACACAAGUCUGAAUUAUUGAAAGGUUCAAGUAAUUUCAGAGUGAAGUCGAAGAUUGUCGUGACAAGAGGAUAAAAUGUCUAUGAUAUGAUCAUAGAGAUAUCUGAGUUACGAGUUUGGCACACAAUUAAGACAUUGUGGAAAGUGUUUCACAAUUAAUACCGCCUGGAACACCAUAGUGUGAUGGUGUGUCCGAACAUCACAACUGCACCCUAUUGGAUAUGGUGCACACCAUGAUGUUUCUUAUCAAAUUACCACUAUCGUUUAUGGGUUAGGCAUUAGAGACAACCACAUUCACUUUAAAAGGGGCACCACGCAAUUCCGUUGAGACGACACCGUUUAUAGAAACCUAAGUUGUCGUUUCUUAAAAGUUUGGGGCUGCGAUGCUUAUGUGAAAAAGUUUCAGGCUGAUAAGCUCAAACCCAAAGCGGAUAAAUGCAUCUUCAUAGAAUACCCAAAAACAGUUGGGUAUACCUCCUAUUUCAGAUCUGGAAGCAAAAGUAAUUGCUUCUAGAAAUGAGUCCUUUCUUGAGGAAAAGUUUCUCUCGAAAUAAUUGAGUGGGAGGAUGGUGGAGACUUGAUAAGGUUAUUGAAUCCUCGCUUCAACUAGUGUGUAGCAGGGCACAGGAAGUUGUUCCUGUGGCACCUACACCAAUUGAAGUGGAAGCUUAUGAUAGUGAUCAUGAAACUUCGGAUCAAGUCACUACCAAACCUCGUAGGACGACGAGGAUGCGCACUACUUCAGAGUGGUACGUGAUCCUGUCUGAGAUAUCAUGUUGUUGGACAAUACUGAACCUACGAGCUAUGGAGAAGCGAUGGUGGGCCCAUAUUUCGACAAAUGGUUAGAAACCAUGAAAUCCGAGAUAAAUGGAUCUUUGAGAAGAAGACGGACGUGGACGGUAAUGUUACCGUCUAUGAAGCUCGACUUGUGGCAAAGAGUAUUUUCACAAGUUCAAGGAGUUGACUACGAUGAGUUUUUCUCAUCCGUAGCGAUGCUUAGGUCCGUCGGAAUCAUGUUAGCAUUAGCUACAUUUAUGAAAUCUGGCAGAUGGAUGUCAAAACAAGUUUCCUUACCAGUUUUCGUAAGGAAAGGUUGUAUGUGAUACAAUCAGAAAGGUUUUGUCAAUCCUAAGGAUGCUAAAAGGUAUGCUAGCUCCAGCGAUCCUUCCAUGGAUUAGAGCAAGCAUCUCGGAGUCAGAAUAUACGCUUUGAUGGGGUGAUCAAAGUUUUUGGGUUUAUACAAAGUUUGUUAGAAACUUGUAUUUACAAUAAAGUGAGUGGGAGCGCUACAACAUUUCUGAUAAGUAUAUGUGAAUGACAUAUUGUUGAUCCGAAAUGAUGUAAAAUUUCUGGAAAGCAUAAAGGGUUGUUUGAAAGGAGUUUUUCAAAGGAAGACCUGGAUAAAGCUACUUACAUAUUGGGCAUCAAGAUCCAUAGAGAUAGAUCAAGACGCCUGAUGAUACUUUCAAAAGACAGCACACCUUGACAUGAUUUUGAAAGAGUUCAAAAUAGAUCAGCAAAGAAGGAGUUCUUGGCUGUGUUACAAGGUGUGAGUAUUGAGUAAGACUCAAGACCUGACCACAGCAGAAGAUAGAGAAAGGACGAAGGUCGUCCCCUAUGCUUUAGACGUAGGCUCUAUAGUAUGCUAUGCUGUGUACCGCACAUGUAGUGUGCCUUGCCAUGAGUUGGUCAAGAGGGUACAAUGGUGAUCCGGGAAUGGAUCUCAUGACAGCGGUCGAACUUAUCCUUAGUACCUAGUGGACUAAGGAAUUUUCUCGAUUAUGGAGGUGAAAAGGAGUUCGUCGUAAAGAGUUACGUCGAUGCGAACUUUGACACUAAUCCGGAUGACUCUGAGUAGUAAACCGGAUUCGUAUAGUAGAGCAAUUACUUGAAAUGGCUCCAAGUAGCGCGUGGUAGCAUCCACAAAGAUGACAUAGAUAUUCGUAAAGCACACACGAAUCUGAAAGGUUCAGGCCCGUUGACUAAUAACCUCUCUCACAAGCAUAACAUGAUCAAACCAGAACUCAUUGAGUGUUAAUCACAUAGAGAUGUGAGCUAGAUUGUUGACUCUAGUAAACUCUUGGGUGUUGGUCACAUGGUGAUGUGACCUGUCAGUGUUAAUCACAUGGUGAUGUGAACUAGAUUAUUGACUCUAGUGCAAGUGGGAGACUGUUGGAAAUAUGCCCUAGAGGCAAUAAUAAAUAGGUUAUUAUUAUAUUUCCUUGUUCAUGAUAAUCGUUUAUUAUCCAUGCUAGAAUUGUAUUGAUAGGAAACUCAGAUACAUGUGUGGAUACAUAGACAACACCAUGUCCCUAGUAAGCCUCUAGGAGACUAGCUCGUUGAUCAAUAGAUGGUUAUGGUUUCCUGACCAUGGACAUUGGAUGUCGUUGAUAACGGGAUCACAUCAUUAGGAGAAUGAUGUGAUGGACAAGACCCAAUCCUAAGCCUAGCACAAGAUCGUGUAGUUCGUUUGCUCAGAGCUUUUCUAAUGUCAAGUAUCACUUCCUUAGACCAUGAGAUUGUGCAACUCCCGGAUACCGUAGGAAUGCUUUGGGUGUACCAAACGUCACAACGUAACUGGGUGGCUAUAAAGGUGCACUACAGGUAUCUCCGAAAGUGUCUGUUGAGUUUGGCACGAAUCGAGACUGGGAUUUGUCACUCCGUGUAAACGGAGAGGUAUCUCUGGGCCCACUCGGUAGGACAUCAUCAUAAUGUGCACAAUGUGACCAAGGAGUUGAUCACGGGAUGAUGUGAGUUACGGAACGAGUAAAGAGACUUGCCGGUAACGAGAUUGAACAAGGUAUCAGGAUACCGACGAUCGAAUCUCGGGCAAGUAACAUACCGAUGGACAAAGGGAAUUGCAUACGGGAUUAAUUGAAUCCCCGACAUCGUGGUUCAUCCGAUGAAAUCAUCGUGGAACAUGUGGCAGCCAACAUGGGUAUCCAGAUCCCGCUGUUGGUUAUUGACCGGAGAACGUCUCGGUCAUGUCUGCAUGGUUCCCGAACCCGUAGGGUCUACACGCUUAAGGUUCGAUGACGCUAGGGUUAUAGGGAAAGCAUGUACGUGGUUACCGAAUGUUGUUCGGAGUCCCGGAUGAGAUCCCGGACGUCACGAGGAGUUCCGGAAUGGUCCGGAGGUAAAGAUUUAUAUAUGGGAAGUCCUGUUUUGGUCACCGGAAAAGUUUCGGGUGAAAUCGGUAAUGUACCGGGACCACCGGGAGGGUCCCGGGGGUCCACCAAGUGGGGCCACCAGCCCCAGAAGGCUGCGUGGGCCAAGUGUGGGAGGGGACCAGCCCCAGGUGGGCUGGUGCGCCCCCCCACCAAGGCCCAAGGCGCAUGGGAGAGUGGGAGGGGGCAAACCCUAGGUCCAGAUGGGCCUUAGGGCCCAUCUAGUGGGGCGCCUCCCCCUCUCCUCCCCUUGGCCGCCCCCCUUGAUGGGAUCUAGGGCUGGCUGCCUCCUCUUGGGGGUGGAAACCCUAAGGGGGGCGCAGCCCCCUUCCCCCCUAUAUAUACUUGAGGUUUGGGCUGCCAUACAGACACGAGAAAGUCUCCUUUUGGUGCUGCCCUACCCCUCUCCCUCCUCCUCCUCUCCCGCGGUGCUUGGCGAAGCCCUGCGGGAUUGCCACGCUCCUCCAUCACCACCACGCCGUCGUGCUGCUGCUGGAUGGAGUCUUCCCCAACCUCUCCCUCUCUCCUUGCUGGAUCAAGGCGUGGGAGACGUCACCGGGCUGCACGUGUGUUGAACGCGGAGGCACCGUUCUUUCGGUGCUUAGAUCGGAAUCAACCGCGAUCUGAAUCGCUACGAGUACGACUCCCUCAUCCGCGUUCUUGCAACGCUUCCGCAUCGCGAUCUACAAGGGUAUGUAGAUUCACUCCCCUUCCCCUCGUUGCUAGAUUACUCCAUAGAUUGAUCUUGGUGUUGCGUAGAAAAUUUUGAAUUUCUGCUACGUUCCCCAACAGUGGCAUCAUGAGCUAGGUCUAUGCGUAGUUUCUAUGCACGAGUAGAACACAAAGUAGUUGUGGGCGUCGAUGUUGUCAAUUCUUCUUGCCGCUACUAGUCUUAUCUUGUUUCGGCGGCAUUGUGGGAUGAAGCGGCCCGGACCGACCUUACACGUACUCUUACGUGAGACAGGUUCCACCGACUGACAUGCACUAGAUGCAUAAGGUGGCUAGCGGGUGUCUGUCUCUCCUACUUUAGUCGGAACGGAUUCGAUGAAAAGGGUCCUUAUGAAGGGUAAAUAGAAAUUGGCAAAUCACGUUGUGGUCAUACGUAGGUAAGAAACGUUCUUGCUAGAAACCUACAAACCACGUAAAAACUUGCAACAACAAUUAGAGGACGUCUAACUUGUUUUUGCAGCAAGUGCUAUGUGAUGUGAUAUGGCCAAAAGAUGUGAUGAAUGAUAUAUGUGAUGUAUGAGAUUGAUCAUAUUCUUGUAAUAGGAAUCACGACUUGCAUGUCGAUGAGUAUGACAACCGGCAGGAGCCAUAGGAGUUGUCUUUAUUAUUUUGCAUGACCUGCGUGUCAUUGAAUAACGCCAUGUAAUUUACUUUACUUUGUUGCUAAACGCGUUAGCCAUACAAGUAGAAGUAAUCGUUGGCGUGACGACUUCAUGAAGACACAAUGAUGGAGAUCAUGGUGUCAUGCCGGUGACAAAGAUGAUCAUGGUGCCCCGAAGAUGGAGAUCAAAGGAGCAUGAUGAUAUUGGCCAUAUCAUGUCACUAUUUGAUUGCAUGUGAUGUUUAUCAUGUUUUUGCAUCUUAUUUGCUUAGAACGACGGUAGCAAAUAGGAUGAUCCCUUAUAAUAAUUUCAAAAGUGUUCACCCUAACUGUGCACCGUUGCGAAGGUUCGUUGUUUCGAAGCACCACGUGAUGAUCGGGUGUGAUAGAUUCUAACGUUCGAAUACAACGGGUGUUGACGAGCCUAGCAUGUACAGACAUGGCCUCGGAACACACGCAAUACACUUAGGUUCACUUGACGAGCCUAGCAUGUACAGACAUGGCCUCGGAACACGGAGGACCGAAAGGUCGAGCAUGAGUCGUAUAGAAGAUACGAUCAACAUGGAGAUGUUCACCGAUCUUGACUAGUCCGUCUCACGUGAUGAUCGGACACGGCCUAGUCGAAUUCGGAUCAUGUUUCACUUAGAUGACGAGAGGGAUGUCUAUCUGAGUGGGAGUUCAUUAAAUAAUUUGAUUAUAUGAACUUAAUUAUCAUGAACUUAGUCUAAAAUCUUUACACUAUAUAUUGUAGAUCAAAUGGCCCACGUUGUCCUCAAUUUCAACGCGUUCCUAGAGAAAACCAAGCUGAAAGAUGAUGGCAGCAACUAUACGGACUGGGUCCGGAACCUGAGGAUCAUCCUCAUAGCAGCCAAGAAAGAUUAUGUCUUAGAAGCACCGCUAGGUGAAGCACCAAUCCCUGAGAACCAAGACAUUAUGAACGCUUGGCAGCAGCGUGCUGAUCAUUACUCCCUCGUUCAGUGCGGCAUGCUUUACAGCUUAGAACCGGGUCUCCAAAAGCGUUUUGAGAAACAUGGAGCAUAUGAGAUGUUCGAGGAGCUGAAACUGGUUUUUCAAGCUCAUGCCCGGGUCGAGAGAUAUGAUGUCUCCGACAAGUUCUUCAGCUGUAAAAUGGAGGAGAACAGUUCUGUUAGUGAGCACAUACUCAGAAUGUCUGGGUUGCACAACCGCUUGUCUCAGCUGGGAGUUAAUCUCCCGGAUGACGCGGUCAUUGACAGAAUCCUCCAGUCGCUUCCACCAAGCUACAAGAGCUUUGUGAUGAACUACAAUAUGCAGGGGAUGGAAAAGACCAUUCCCGAGGUAUAUUCAAUGCUGAAAUCAGCUGAGGUAGAGAUCAGAAAAGAACAUCAAGUGUUGAUGGUGAAUAAAACCACUAAGUUCAAGAAGGGCAAGGGUAAGAAGAACUUCAAGAAGGACGGCAAGGGAGUUGCCGCACCCGGUAAGCCAGUUACCGGGAAGAAGUCAAAGAAUGGACCCAAGCCCGAGACUGAGUGCUUUUAUUGCAAGGGAAGUGGUCACUGGAAGCGGAACUGCCCCAAAUAUUUAGCGGACAAGAAGAAGGCCGGCAACACCCAAGGUAUAUGUGAUAUACAAGUAAUUGAUGUGUACCUUACCAGUACUCGUAGUAGCUCCUGGGUAUUUGAUACCGGUGCGGUUGCUCAUAUUUGUAACUCAAAGCAGGAACUACGGAAUAAACGGAGACUGGCAAAGGACGAGGUGACGAUGCGCGUUGGGAAUGGUUCCAAGGUCGAUGUGAUCGCCGUCGGCACGCUACCUCUGCAUCUACCCACGGGAUUAGUUUUAAACCUCAAUAAUUGUUAUUUAGUGCCAGCUUUGAGCAUGAACAUUGUAUCUGGAUCUCGUUUAAUUCGAGAUGGCUACUCAUUUAAAUCCGAGAAUAAUGGUUGUUCUAUUUAUUUGAGAGAUAUGUUUUAUGGUCAUGCCCCGCUGGUCAAUGGUUUAUUUUUGAUGAAUCUCGAACAUGAUGUUACACAUGUUCAUAGUGUGAAUACCAAAAGAUGUAAAGUUGAUAACGAUAGUCCCACAUACUUGUGGCACUGCCGCCUUGGUCACAUUGGUGUCAAGCGCAUGAAGAAGCUCCAUGCAGAUGGACUUUUGGAGUCUCUUGAUUACGAAUCAUUUGACACGUGCGAACCAUGCCUCAUGGGUAAGAUGUGUUGGAAAUAUGCCCUAGAGGCAAUAAUAAAUAGGUUAUUAUUAUAUUUCCUUGUUCAUGAUAAUCGUUUAUUAUCCAUGCUAGAAUUGUAUUGAUAGGAAACUCAGAUACAUGUGUGGAUACAUAGACAACACCAUGUCCCUAGUAAGCCUCUAGUUGACUAGCUCGUUGAUCAAUAGAUGGUUACGGUUUCCUGACCAUGGACAUUGGAUGUCGUUGAUAACGGGAUCACAUCAUUAGGAGAAUGAUGUGAUGGACAAGACCCAAUCCUAAGCCUAGCACAAGAUCGUGUAGUUCGUUUGCUCAGAGCUUUUCUAAUGUCAAGUAUCACUUCCUUAGACCAUGAGAUUGUGCAACUCCCGGAUACCGUAGGAAUGCUUUGGGUGUGCCAAACGUCACAACGUAACUGGGGGGCUAUAAAGGUGCACUACGGGUAUCUCCGAAAGUGUCUGUUGGGUUGGCACGAAUCGAGACUGGGAUUUGUCACUCCGUGUAAACGGAGAGGUAUCUCUGGGCCCACUCGGUAGGACAUCAUCAUAAUGUGCACAGUGUGACCAAGGAGUUGAUCACGGGAUGAUGUGAGUUACGGAACGAGUAAAGAGACUUGCCGGUAACGAGAUUGAACAAGGUAUAGGGAUACCGACGAUCGAAUCUCGGGCAAGUAACAUACCGAUGGACAAAGGGAAUUGCAUACGGGAUUGAUUGAAUCCCCGACAUCGUGGUUCAUCCGAUGAGAUCAUUGUGGAACAUGUGGGAGCCAACAUGGGUAUCCAGAUCCCGUUGUUGGUUAUUGACCGGAGAACGUCUCGGUCAUGUCUGCAUGGUUCCCGAACCCGUAGGGUCUACACACUUAAGGUUCGAUGACGCUAGGGUUAUAGGGAAAGUAUGUACGUGGUUACCGAAUGUUAUUCGGAGUCCCGGAUGAGAUCCCGGACGUCACGAGGAGUUCCGGAAUGGUCCGGAGGUAAAGAUUUAUAUAUGGGAAGUCCUGUUUUGGUCACCAGAAAAGUUUCGGGUGAAAUCGGUAAUGUACCGGGACCACCGGGAGGGUCCCGGGGGUCCACCAAGUGGGGCCACCAGCCCCAGAAGGCUGCGUGGGCCAAGUGUGGGAGGGGACCAGCCCCAGGUGGGCUGGUGCGCCCCCCCCACCAAGGCCCAGGCGCAUGGGAGAGUGGGAGGGGGCAAACCCUAGGUCCAGAUGGGCCUUAGGGCCCAUCUAGUGGGGCGCCUCCCCCUCUCCUCCCCUUGGCCGCCCCCCUUGAUGGGAUCUAGGGCUGGCCGCCUCCUCUUGAGGGUGGAAACCCUAAAGGGGGCGCAGCCCCCUUCCCCCCUAUAUAUACUUGAGGUUUGGGCUGCCAUACAGACACGAGAAAGUCUCCUUUUGGUGCUGCCCUACCCCUCUCCCUCCUCCUCCUCUCCCGCGGUGCUUGGCGAAGCCCUGCGGGAUUGCCACGCUCCUCCAUCACCACCACGCCGUCGUGCUGCUGCUGGAUGGAGUCUUCCCCAACCUCUCCCUCUCUCCUUGCUGGAUCAAGGCGUGGGAGACGUCACCGGGCUGCACGUGUGUUGAACGCGGAGGCACCGUACUUUCGGUGCUUAGAUCGGAAUCAACCGCGAUCUGAAUCGCUACGAGUACGACUCCCUCAUCCGCGUUCUUGCAACGCUUCCGCAUCGCGAUCUACAAGGGUAUGUAGAUGCACUCCCCUUCCCUUCGUUGCUAGUAAACUCCAUAGAUUGAUCUUGGUGAUGCGUAGAAAAUUUUGAAUUUCUGCUACGUUCCCCAACAUUGAAAUAGUUUGCAAGAGUUAUAUAAAGAUAAUGCAUGUUAAAUUUCACACGUACCGACAAUAUAACACAGACACAAUUAUUUAAUAAUUAAAGUACAAUUUUGCAAUGUAAAUUGCCAAAAAGAAAAAUUAACGGCAUGUCCAUGUAACAAACUUAAUGGAGUUCCAACUAAACAUCUAUUAUAAAAUUAUUAAUAUCUAGGUUAUACGCUUAAGAAAUUCUUUCACAAUAUACGGAAAGUUGUCUUUAGCUUCAUUCCCACGAUGUUCUAGCAAGUAUAAUAAAAACUGCUUUCUCAACUCAUAUCCAUCCUGCACAAACAAUAUAUGUAGUUAGUAUGAAAAUAAGUAACAGACAAUACUCACCGCGCAAACCGGCUUGACCCGUUCCACCAGAGCAUAAAAUGAAUCAUCGCUAAUCAUAAUUCCCAUUAACAUCAACCAGUAUUCUUGGUGUUUAUUACUGUUAGUCAACUGGCAUUUCAAGUUUCAUUACUGCCUGAAAUGAAGGUUAUCACUCUAAAAUAGCAUGGUCAUAUUAGUGACCGUGCAAACUUCAAGAUUUAAAACCGAUAAGUAGGCCUUCAAAUUGGAAAGGGUGCACGUGCAGCGCACGUAAGUUUAGGAAUUUCUUCAUCAUUUUGAUUAUCUAAAUCAAUUUUUUUCAUAAUAGUUGUCACAAUAACAUGUUAUGUUUAACAAGAAUUGGUCUAAAUUGAAAUUUUAUAACAAUCCAAAGUCCAAUUUCGGCAAACAGCCUCCUCGCUAGCAAGAUGUGUCAGCACCAUCCAAUCGCCAUCUCGCAACUGUCAUCCUGGUGGUUUGGAUUUCUGAAUAUGUUUGUCUCUUUCCUGCCGCACGCAACACUUUAUCUCCAUGUCACGCCGAAUCUUCUUUUUGGGCUAUCAUCAGGGGAUUUUGUCUACCUAAAUAUAAUUACACACCAUGAAGACAAGCUCGAAUUGCUGGUGGCUUGGAUCGUCUCAACAACACCCAACCAAGAACCAACCGACCAGGCUCGAUCCUCUGCAAGGAGGGCAUACCAAAUCAUCUCCUUUUUUAUCAACACAGAUAGAAUGUUCAAAACAAUGCCAUCGUAAUCAACAUGGGCAAAACAUAGCAAAAAAUAAGGACAUGCUAUUGUUCUACGCGAGACAAUAAGCAACUUUAGCAUCCAGUGUCCCAUCAUCUACCAUGAAGAUUGGGAACUCCGUCGUUCCAAGAUAUGCUUCAAUAUUUCAAUAUUUCAAGAUUGGGAACUCAUUGCAUGUAACUUUUUUCUUGCUUGUUAGCAUAAAGCCAGACAUUGUCACCCCACAACAGAAAACAUUAAGGUUUCAAAACAAAAGAAAACAUUUGAACAAAAGAAAGUUAACAUAUAGCAGAUCUCAACCCAUCUUACAUCGCAAACUGUUAACCCCAAUAUUUCAUGAUCUGAAUGGGGGAAUUAAGGUUGGAUUUUGUCUCUGACGAAUCAGAUUUCUGGACAUUGUCAACAUCAAGAUUCCAUCGCAUGGUUUCAUAACAAUCAACCUGUACAUGGAUCUUUGAUUAAAUUCUAGCCACUACCAUGAAGCUCCCGGUCAGCAAGAGUUGUAUUUUUUUCUGUUUAAGCGGGCACCUAGUUUUUCUAAUACAUGGAUGUAAUUCUCCCCAUGUGGCUCAAAAGAAGCAUGAUGCCUGUGGGUUCCUGAACCUUGACCCAACGCCACCCAUUUAUUUGUGACAAUUUAUGCCCAAAUUUAUCUCAAACAAAAGGUAUGCCCAGAUCUGUAACACAAGCAGCUGAACAAUUUAAAAAUAUAAAUAUCCUAGCCUUCUUUUUCAUACGACUCAUGAGAUUCUACAGCAACAAAAAUGAUUUUACAUUGUUUUUCACACACACAUGAACCAGAGCUGCUAGGCAGCAAUAUUCCACCAUUUGACAAUAACUAUAACGAUAAAGAAUGACUACCAGACCAUAUCCUUUACUACAUAAUGGAAUACUAAUGUGCAAACAAAUGCCACCAUUGCUCCUGAAGUAUUCAUAUCAUCGAGUAAGAAUGGUUGCAUGUUUAUCACCUUUUCCAAUCCAAUGAAACUGAUGUUAUAACACAUUACACAUGCUAUGAAAGAAAUUGAUGAGAACAAUAUUACAUUUGCUCUUACUGCAAAUCAACACCAACAAAUCUAUAAUAGGUUCAUGCAUAAAGCAAGUGAAUUUGAAAAAGAAACCAGAACCUUAUUAAGUGAUCCUAAUUCCAUGCGAAGUUGCCUAGGAAAAAUAGAAGUGGAGGAUCAAGGUGGAUUCCAAAUAAUAGUAAUAUAAUACUCCUUCAAGGUAAAAAAAUGAAAUCUAGUGGGUACAAGCAUUUUGAAUAAUAAACAAAAUUAAGAUCUAACUAUAUACGUGCAAUACAUGUUUCUAAAAUUCAAAGUAUGUAUGAAUAUAUGUAAAUAAAAGUUUUGCUUAGGUCAUAAUUUUUCAUACUUCACAAUCAUCUUAUCCUGUCAAAUCAUUGGUGCACAUCCCCAUUGUGCAGGAUUUUUUUGGAACUUCCUAUCUCCACUUACAUCAUGGAUAGCAUACAGCAAAGGUUAAUUAAAAUUCAAUAGACUUCUAUGAGAUGACAUGAGUGACGAUCGGUGCAGGUUUAUGGCAUUGAGCAUCAUCUACUAACCCUUCAAAAUGAUGAUUUUCAUUUGGACCAAGUACAUCUCAAGCUGCAAGCACAAUAAAAUCACCAUGGGCUUGGAGCCCACCAUAUCUCCACGUUCCUGCAUGUGAAGAAUUAACCAGUGCCCCAAGUCAGAACUACUGCUAACCUCAUUCAUGUAGACCUUACUAAAAAUUCAGAAAAUAUGCAGAGUAUCCAUUUUUGUUAACCUAGCUAUCUGCAGUCCAAGACAGAGCGUGACCAUAAUCCACACUACAACACAUGAAUAUAGCUACCUUAUGGGGCAUAUAUGCCUAAUCCUCAUAUCUUGUUGUUUGGAAAAGAGUUGACCAUUUGCACAUAGUAUAGAAUGGCGAAGAUUGAACAUGCUCUCGUACAAUUGGGGAAUGGUGUGGAGCUCCAUAAGCGACGGCGGCGAUGCCGGCUACAGUUGUUCUGACAGGAACUAAUUUGCUUACUCUUCGUUUUCAGUUAACCACAUAGUACUACACUGCCAUAUACAAAAUCAGGAGAGGAAGGUACCUUCUGUACGCCCACUGCACGGGAGAGUUUUGUGGCGGACUGUAUACCUGGACGCGAUAAUCUUGUUUCGGAGGAGCGCCCAACUGCGGCAUGGAGGUCAGAGAGGGGUGAGAGCCGGACCAGUGUGAUUCACACAGUGCAAACCUGAUAAACAAAACGCAAAAGUCCAGCACCUGGUUUACUGCAAGGAGCUCGCUGGUGUCCAGAUUCAACCUGAGGUAGACUUGCCCAUUAUCUCGCCCUUCCGCCAUCGGAUCGGCGGGAUGUCCCCUGCUCAGCCGCUCCCGUCGACAGGUACGGCCGUCCGCGACUGCAGGCGUUGUGGCGGCGAGGGACUCUUGGAGAUGCGAUCGAGCAGCCUACCCCUUGACUUGCAGAGGCAGGAGCUGAUAUGGACGCCGAUCCCACUCAGGGGCCCGGCGGAGUGCUGGUGCAGACUUGAUGAUUCGACACAUGAAGUCGAAUAGAUCAUGGAACCCGGCACCGCCGCCGGCAUCAGCGGGGUCCCGUCGCAUGGGUCGUGGUCUAGGCUCGGGGCUCGUGUCGACGGCGGCAUGGAGGUAAGAGAGGUGAGAGCCUGCUGGCCGUGCCCUUCCUCCCCUCCCUUCCUUCUGUUCUCCCUGGAACCGCAGCAGGCCAUGGAGGAGCUCAGCCGCCGCCGUCGUCCCUCCGACUCUCGCCGGAGCCGUCCGUCGUCGACCCGAUCCUGCUGCCAUCCGCCAGAUCCACAGCAGCCCCGCCGGAGCCCACAACUUGGCCAUCACCAUUCCCUCGAGAUGUCGCCGCCUCCCCGUGUUGACCGCGUCGCUCACCUGCAUUCAGGGAUCUUUCGAUAUCGGAUUGUGUUUUCCUUUCCUUGGAUUAGGAAACGAUGUACCGGGGUCGACGCGGGGCGCGCGGAACGUUUGGUACGGCAGAGUUUUCGUCCGCCCAGGUAAAUUGCUAAGCGCGUUUUUGGCUCUGGAUUAGAUUAAAUUAAGUGAUUCUGAUCGUGUGGUUAUAAUUGAGCUAUGUUGUUAUGUGUACGUUAGGCUGGGUACACUUAGCAAUGUACAUGUUUUCUUCUUUAAUAAGUAGUAGAGAUGGUUUACCUAUGAAUUUCUUUAAAUCCAUUAUUUGUUUCCUCAAAAUCUAUUAUUUAUUUCCUAAAGCAAAUUGCAUUAAUGAGAGAAAUUCACUGAUUUGGUUAAGGUAGGAAAGAAUCUAUUAUUUGUUUCCUAAAGCAAAUUCCAUUAAUGGAAGAGAUCCGUUGAUUUGGCUAAGGUAGGAAAGAAUCUAUCAUUUGUUUCCUAAAGCAAAUUGCAUUUAUGAAAGAGAUUCGUUGAUUUGGCUAAGCUAGGAAAGUUAGAUCCGUGAUCUUUUGUCAUUAGGAAAGUGUUGAAAAUAAACCGUAUUAAAUCCAUUAUUUGUUUCCUGAAAAUCUAUUAUUUAUUUCCUAAAGCAAAUUGCAUUAAUGAGAGAAAUUCACUGAUUUGGUUAAGGUAGGAAAGAAUCUAUUAUUUGUUUCCUAAAGCAAAUUCCAUUAAUGGAAGAGAUCCAUUGAUUUGGCUAAGGUAGGAAAGAAUCUAUUAUUUCUUUCCUAAAGCAAAUUGCAUUUAUGAAAGAGAUUCGUUGAUUUGGCUAAGCUAGGAAAGUUAGAUCCGUGAUCUUUUGUCAUUAGGAAAGUGUUGAAAAUAAACCGUACCGGACUACCAACUCCUCCAUUAGGUUUUUUUUCGCUGGUUAAUCUUGGUAGGUCUUUUUUCGUUGGUUAACCUUCGUAGGUCUAUUUUUUGGUACGUGGAUGGGUGCGUGUUGGGGCCUCAGGAGGAGGUUUUUUCAGUUUCUGGUGGAUAAGUAAGAGGUGGGAGUGAGGACGAAAAAAAACCGGACGAAAAUGGUGGGACGAAAAUAAACCCGGAACGGAGACUACCAACUGCUCCAUUAGGAGUAGAGACUCCCUAGUCCUAGUAGGAUUCCACCUCCCAUAUGGAAUAGGAAAAGAGGAAGGGAAAAAGAGAAGGAAGGAAGGGGCGCAACGCCUUCCCUAGUCCAAUUCGGACCAGAGGAGGGGUGCGGCCACCCUUGAGGCCCUUUUUCUUCUUUCCCGUAUGGCCCAAUAAGGCCCAAUACGUAUUCCCGUAACUCUCCGGUACUCCGAAAAAUACCCGAUCACUCGGAACCUUUCCGAAGUCUGAAUAUAGUCGUCCAAUAUAUCGAUCUUUACGUCUCGGCCAUUUCGAGACUCCUCGUCAUGUCCCCGAUCUCAUCCGGGACUCCGAACUCCUUCGGUACAUCAAAACUCAAUAAAACUGUCAUCGUAACGUUAAGCGUGCGGACCCUACGGGUUCGAGAACUAUGUAGACAUGACCGAGACACGUCUCCGGUCAAUAACCAAUAGCGGGACCUGGAUGCCCAUAUUGGCUCCCACAUAUUCUACGAAGAUCUUUAUCGGUCAGACCGCAUAACAACAUACGUUGUUCCCUUUGUCACCGGUAUGUUACUUGCCCGGGAUUUGAUCGUCGGUAUCUCGAUACCUAGUUCAAUCUCGUUACCGGCAAGUCUCUUUACUCGUUCCGUAACACAUCAUCCCGCAACUAACUUAUUAGUCACAAUGCUUGCAAGGCUUAUACUGAUGUGCAUUACCGAGUGGGCCCAGAGAUACCUCUCCGACAAUCGGAGUGACAAAUCCUAAUCUCGAAAUACGCCAACCCAACAAGUACCUUUGGAGACACCUGUAGAGCACCUUUAUAAUCACCCACUUACGUUGUGACGUUUGGUAGCACACAAAGUGUUCCUCCGGUAAACGGGAGUUGCAUAAUCUCAUAGUCAUAGGAACAUGUAUAUGUCAUGAAGAAAGCAAUAGCAACAUACUAAACGAUCGAGUGCUAAGCUAACGGAAUGGGUCAAGUCAAUCACAUCAUUCUCCUAAUGAGGUGAUCUCGUUAAUCAAAUGACAACUUAUAUCUAUGGCUAGGAAACAUAACCAUCUUUGAUUAACGAGCUAGUCAAGUAGAGGCAUACUAGUGACACUCUGUUUGUCUAUAUAUUCACACAUGUAUUAUGUUUCCGGUUAAUACAAUUCUAGCAUGAAUAAUAAACAUUUAUCAUGAUACAAGGAAAUAAAUAAUACUUUAUUAUUGCCUCUAGGGCAUAUUUCCUUCAGUCUCCCACUUGCACUAGAGUCAAUAAUCUAGUUCACAUCGCCAUGUGAUUUAACAUUAAUAAUUCACAUCACCAUGUGAUUAACACCCAUAGUUCACAUCUCUAUGUGACCAACACUCAAAGGGUUUACUAGAGUCAAUAAUCUAGUUCACAUCGCUAUGUGAUUAACACCCAAAGAGUACUAAGGUGUGAUCAUGUUUUGAUUGUGAGAUAAUUUUAGUCAACGGGUCUGUCAUAUUCAGAUCCGUAAGUAUUUUGCAAAUUUCUAUGUCUACAAUGCUCUGCACGGAGCUACUCUUAGCUAAUUGCUCCCACUUUCAAUAUGUAUCUAGACCGAGACUUAGAGUCAUCUAGAUUAGUGUCAAAAACUUGCAUUGACGUAACCCUUUACGACGAACCUUUUGUCACUUCCAUAAUCGAGAAACAUAUCCUUAUUCCACUAAGGAUAAUUUUGACCGCUGUCCAGUGAUCUACUCCUAGAUCACUAUUGUACUCCCUUGCCAAAAUCAGUGUAGGGUAUACAAUAGAUCUGGUACACAGCAUGGCAUACUUUAUAGAAUCUAUGGCCAAGGCAUAGGGAAUGACUUUCAUUCUAUUUCUAUCUUCUGCCGUGGUCGGGUUUUGAGUCUUACUCAAUUUCACACCUUGUAAUACAGGCAAGAACUCUUUCUUUGACUGUUCUAUUUUGAACUACUUCAAAAUCUUGUUAAGGUAUGUACUCAUUGAAUAAACUUAUCAAGCGUCUUGAUCUAUCUCUAUAGAUCUUGAUGCUCAAUAUGUAAGCAGCUUCACCGAGGUCUUGCUUUGAAAAACUUCUUUCAAACACUCCUUUAUGCUUUGCAGAAUAAUUCUACAUUAUUUCCGAUCAACAAUAUGUCAUUCACAUAUACUUAUCAGAAAUGUUGUAGUGCUCCCACUCACUUUCUUGUAAAUACAGGCUUCACCGCAAGUCUGUAUAAAACUAUAUCCUUUGAUCAACUUAUCAAAGUGUAUAUUCCAACUCUGAGAUGCUUGCACCAGUCCAUAGAUGGAUCCCUAGAGAUUGCAUAUUUUGUUAGCACUUUUAGGAUUGACAAAACUUCCUGGUUGCAUCAUAUACAACUCUUCUUUAAUAAAUCCAUUAAGGAAUGCAGUUUUGUUUAUCCAUUUGCCAUAUUUCAUAAAAUGCGGCAAUUGCUAACAUGAUUCAGACAGACUUAAGCAUAGAUACGAGUGAGAAACUCUUAUCGUAGUCAACACCUUGAACUUGUCGAAAAACCCUUUUUGUGACAAUUCUAGCUUUGUAGAUAGUAACACUACUAUCAGCGUCCGUCUUCCUCUUGACGAUCCAUUUAUUCUCAAUUGCUUGCCGAUCAUCGGGCAAGUCAACCAAAGUCCACAUUUUGUUCUCAUACAUGGAUCUCAUCUCAGAUUUCAUGGCCUCAAGCCAUUUUGCGGAAUCUGGGCUCACCAUCGCUUCUUCAUAGUUCGUAGGUUCGUCAUGGUCUAGUAACAUAACCUCCAGAACAGGAUUACCGUACCACUCUGGUGCAGAUCUUACUCUGGUUUACCUACGAGGUUUGGUAGUAACUUGAUCUGAAGUUACAUGAUCAUCAUCAUUAACUUCCUCACUAAUUGGUGUAUAAGUCAUAGGAACAGAUUUCUGUGAUGAACUACCUUCCAAUAAGGGAGCAGGUACAGUUACCUCAUCAAGUUCUACUUUCCUCCCACUCACUUCUUUCGAGAGAAACUCCUUCUCUAGAAAGGAUCCAUAUUAAGCAACGAAUGUCUUGCCUCCGGAUCUAUGAUAGAAGGUGUACCCAACUGUCUCCUUUGGGUAUCCUAUGAAGACAUAUUUCUCCGAUUUGGGUUUGAGCUUAUCAGGAUGAAACUUUUUCACAUAAGCAUCGCAACCCCAAAUUUUAAGAAACGACAACUUUGGUUUCUUGCCAAACCACAGUUCAUAAGGCGUCGUCUCAACGGAUUUCGAUGGUGCCCUAUUUAACGUGAAUGCAGCUGUCUCUAAUGCAUAACCCCAAAACGAUAGUGGUAGAUCGAUAAGAUACAUCAUAUAUCGCACCAUAUCUAAUAAAGCACGAUUACGACGUUCGGACACACCAUUACACCGUGGUGUUCCAGGUGGCGUGAGUAGUGAAACUAUUUCACAUUGUUUUAACUGAAGGCCAAACUCGUAACUCAAAUACUCUUCUCCAUGAUCAUAUCGUAGAAACUUUAAAUUUCUUGUUACGAUGAUUUUCCGCUUCACUCUGAAAUUAUAUGAACUUUUCAAAUGUUUCAGACUUCUGUUUCAUUAAGUAGAUAUACCCAUAUCUGCUCAAAUCAUCUGUGAAGGUCAGAAAAUAAUGAUACCCGCUACGAGCCUCAGUAUUCAUCGGACCACAUACAUCUGUAUGUAUGAUUUCCAACAAAUCUGUUGCUCUCUCCAUAGUUCCGGAGAACGGUGUUUUAGUCAUCUUGCCCAUGAGGCACGGUUCGCAAGCAUCAAGUGAUUCCAAAAUCCCAUCAGUAUGGAGUUUCUUCAUGCGCUUUACACCAAUAUGACCUAAACGGCAGUGCCACAAAUAAGUUGCACUAUCAUUAUUAACUUUGCAUCUUUUGGCUUCAUUAUUAUGAAUAUGUGUAUCACUACGAUCGAGAUCCAACAAACCAUUUUCGUUGGUGUGUAUGACCAUAGAAGGUUUUAUUCAUGUAAACAGAACAACAAUUGUUCUCUAACUUAAAUGAAUAACCGUAUUGCAAUAAACAUGAUCAAAUCAUAUUCAUGCUCAACGCAAACACCAAAUAACACUUAUUUAGUUUCAACACUAAUCCCGAAAGUAUAGGGAGUGUGCGAUGAUGAUCAUAUCAAUCUUGGAACUACUUCCAACACACAUCGUCACCUCGCCUUUUACUAGUCUCUGUUUAUUCUGGAACUCCCGUUUUCGAGUUACUACUCUUUAGCAACUGAACCAGUAUUAAAUACUGAGGGGUUGCUAUAAACACUAGUAAGUACACAUCAAUAACAUGUAUAUCCAAUAUACCUUUGUUCACUUUGCCAUCCUUCUUAUCCACCAAAUACUUGGGGCAGUUCCACCUCCAGUGACCAGUCCCUUUGCAGUAGAAGCACUUAGUCUCAGGCUUAGGUACAGACUUGGGCUUCUUCACUUGAGUAGCAACUUGCUUGCCGUUCUUUUUUUUGAAGUUCCCCUUCUUCCCUUUGCCCUUUUCUCGAAACUAGUGGUCUCGUCAACCAUCAACACUUGAUGUUUUUCUUGAUUUCUACCUUCGUCGAUUUCAGCAUCACGAAGAGCUCGGGAAUUACUUUCGUCAUCCCUUGCAUACUAUAGUUCAUCACGAAGUUCUACUAACUUGGUGAUGGUGACUAGAGAAUUCUGUCAAUCACUUAUUUUAUCUGGAAGAUUAACUCCCACUUGAAUCAAGCGAUUGUAGUACCCAGACAAUCUGAGCACAUGCUCACUAGUUGAGCGAUUCUCCUCCAUCUUUUAGCUAUAGAACUUGUUGGAGACUUCAUAUCUCUCAACUCGGGUAUUUGCUUGAAAUAUUAACUUCAACUCCUGGAACAUCUCAUAUGGUCCAUGACGUUCAAAACGUCUUUGAAAUCCCGAUUCUAAGCCGUUAAGCAUGGUGCACUAAACUAUCAAGUAGUCAUCAUAUUGAGCUAGUCAAACGUUCAUAACGUCUGCAUCUGCUCCUGCAAUUGGUCUGUCACCUAGCAGUGCAUCAAGGACAUAAUUUUUCUGUGCAGCAAUGAGGAUACUCCUCAGAUCACGGAUCCAAUCCGCAUCUUUGCUACUAACAUCUUUCAACAUAAUUUUCUCUAGGAAUCAUAUCAAAAAUAAACACAGGGAAGCAACAACGCGAGCUAUUGAUCUACAACAUAAUUUGCAAAAUACUAUCAAGACUAAGUUCAUGAUAAAUUUAAGUUCAAUUAAUCAUAUUACUUAAGAACUCCCACUUAGAUAGACAUCCCUCUAAUCCUCUAAGUGAUCACGUGAUCCAUAUCAACUAAACCAUGUCCGAUCAUCACGUGAGAUGGAGUAGUUUCAACGGUGAACAUCACUAUGUUGAUCAUAUCUACUAUAUGAUUCACGCUCGAACUUUCGGUCUCCGUGUUUCGAGGCCAUAUCUGUUAUAUGCUAGGCUCGUCAAGUUUAACCGGAGUAUUCCGCGUGUGCAACAGUUUUGCACCCGUUGUAUUUGAACGUAGAGCCUAUCACACCCGAUCAUCACGUGGUGUCUCAGCACGAAGAACUUUCGCAACGGUGCAUACUCAGGGAGAACACUUAUACUUUGAUAAUUUAGUGAAGGAUCAUCUUCUAAUGCUACCGUCAAACAAAGCAAGAUAAGAUGCAUAAAGGAUUAACAUCACAUGCAAUCAAUAUAAGUGAUAUGAUAUGGCCAUCAUCAUCUUGUGCUUGUGAUCUCCAUCUCCGAAACACCGUGCUUGUGAUCUCCAUCUCCGAAGCACCGUCAUGAUCACCAUCGUCACCGG